GGGGGCGACUUGGUUUCGACGGAGAUGCUGAACCCUGUGGGGCAUGCUGGGAUGGUACUCCCAUUAAAAAGACCACUAGCAUUAAUUGCUAACGAUGACAUAGAACUCGCUUACGCUGCGUAAGUGACCCCACAACUCAGGUCGCCCAUCGCCUGGGUGACUGGGGCCAUCAAGAUGGGACCGUUUUUGAUUGCUGGGGAAUCGUGGCACAAAAAUUAAAAAUUACGAGACGAUCUGAUGGCGACCUUGUUCGUUCAGUUUCCUUCAGAUGCUAUUUGAACGAACUAAGCAUGUAGAACCAUUGGCUGAUGAUUUUCGGACGUGGGUUCGAGCCCCACCGCCUCCACCA
rnacentral:tmRNA from 1 species